GAGGAAGGUGGGGAUGACGUCAAAUCAGCACGGCCCUUACGUCCGGGGCUACACACGUGUUACAAUGGGGGGUACAGAAGGCAGCUACACGGCGACGUGGUGCUAAUCCCGAAAGCCUCUCUCAGUUCGGAUUGGAGUCUGCAACCCGACUCCAUGAAGCUGGAUUCGCUAGUAAUCGCGCAUCAGCCACGGCGCGGUGAAUACGUUCCCGGGCCUUGUACACACCGCCCGUCAAGCCAUGAAAGCCGGGGGUACCUGAAGUACGUAACCGCGAGGAGCGUCCUAGGGUAAAACUGGUAAUUGGGGCUAAGUCGUAAC
rnacentral:rRNA from 1 species